GCAGGUCCCCAAGGUUGAUAGCCACUAGUUGAUAGGAUAGUGUAGAUAAGGGAAGUCGGCAAAUUAGAUCCCUGCCUUCGGUAUAAGGAUUGGCUCUAAGGACCGGUAUGAACGGGCGAUGCAAUGAAACUUGGUUGAUGGCGCUUAAAUUGGGUUGGCUCUCGGGUCGGAUUAAUCUAAUGGCGUCGUUGCCUUGCAGACUUACCCUGCUGCGAGGUGGCGAUUCGGCGUCAGUACAUCGUUCGACAUUUAACGGUUGACUUAGAACUGGUACGGACUCGGGGAAUCCGGCUGUCUAAUUAAAACAGAGGAGAUAGAUGGUCCUUGCGGACGUUGACCAUAUUUGAUUUCUCCCCAAAGCUCUGAAUGUUAACGGGGAGUAAUCAGCAUGAGCGCGGGUAAACGAGCAGAAAAACUAUGACCCUGACAAGGUAUCCAAAGAGCCAACAGAGCAUCCACAUCAAAAAUGAAUAUGAGGGCGUUCGCCUUAGAAUCGGACAAAUCUGGAGGGGUUUGGCACAGCUCAAAAACCUCGAAUCUCUGAAACUAUGUUUUUCGGGGUUCUCGAGGGUGCUGAUGACGAUGGGCUUAUUCAUUUUGCAUGUUGACCUCCCGUUGGCUCCAGAAGGCGUGACGUCGAAAUCAGUUUAUCCUGUUUUACUCAGUUACCAGAAAAGCUAAAAUUAAGAGGUUUUGGCUUCCGAGGUGAAAUUCGAUGCCGAAUAAGGCUGUCUACUUUAAUUUUCAUUAAUUACAAAAAAAAAUUAAGUAAAUAGGAAGUUCUCGCGGGGCUAAUUGUACCCAGGGAGAGUAUGAUAGAUCGGACCGGAAUGAUGCAAGGAAUCCAAAAAUAUUUUAAAAUGUAAAAAAAGCGUCCCGAUAAGGUUUUACGUAAAAGAUAGUAUGUUAGCUUGUAAGUAAAUUUGACGAUCCUCCCCCUUGUUGACUUCCGAUCUCUUGAUCUACCCGAGUCUCUCUACUUUGCCCUCUUCCCUCUCUCUGUGCUCUCUCUAUUCCCCAUGCUCUCUCGCAUCCCUCGGGAAGGAGAGACGGAUCGAUAAAAGUUCGGAAGUCAACAAGUGGAAGGAAGGCUCAAGUUACUU
rnacentral:ncRNA from 1 species